ensembl:lncRNA
GUAUGAUAUGAAAUACGAGGGGAAAAGUAAUAAAAGAUGAUAACAAAGUUGUUGAAACAGAACAAUUAGAAUGCUGACUUUAUCAGCAACAAUGAUAGAGAAGAAAAUGAUUGAGUAGGUUUUGGGGAAAAAAUUGGGUGUUCCUCUUCAACAUGUUAGGCUUGAGGUUUUUAUUAUCUAGCUAAAUGGAGAUGUUAGGUAGGCAGUCAGAUAUACGAGUCUGGAGUUCAGAAGAGAGAAGUGAAACCCAGGGAAUUUCAGCACUGACAGGCUAAGGAGAAGAUGAAAAUCCAGGAAAGGAGACUAAGAAGAAGUGAUUAGUGAGAUAGGGAAGAAAACAAACAAACAAAUAAGAGAUAUGGUUUCCUCAAAGUCAUGUGAAGAAAGACGAUCAAGGAUCAGAAAAUAAUCAACUAUGCCUAGUGCCUUUGUUGGUAAAAUAAGGUGAGGACAGAAAAUUCCUCAUAGGAGUUAACAAAAUGGAGGCCAUAGAUGAUCUUUUGAAGACGUUUCAAUGGAAUGGCAAAGGCAAAUGGCUAAUUGGAGCUGAGUUUAAGAGAAAGUAGGAGAUGAGGAAUUUGCACAACAGUCUUAGCAACUUUUUUGAAAAAUCUUUGAUGCAAAGGGAAAAAUGGGUGGAAGAAAUUAGGCCAAGAGAAGUUUGCUAUUGUUGUUGUUUUUCUUUAACGUAUUUCAGAUAGGAUAAGUAAUAACGUGGCUAUAUACUAAUGGGAUGAUCCAGUAGACAAGGGAAAUUUUCUGGGGAUGGAAAAAAAGGAAAACAUGGCUGAAGCAUUGCCCUUGAGUAGGUGAAAGGAUAAUGCAUUAAAAGGGAAAUUAGUUUUUUAGAAAAGAGCCUGAAUACGUCCUUUAUGGAAACAGACACCUAUGGGUGUAGAUGCUCGAAGCUAGGAGAUAAGGUGGUGGAGUCUAUAAAAGCUCUCUUUUGAUUGAUUUCUUACUCCUCCCUAGUGAAGUAGGAACAAAAUCAUCAGCUAAGAGUUAGAGUGGAGGAUGAGGUGUCAGAGAUUUGAGGGCAAAGGGAAAGGUGUGAAAUAGUCAUCUGUGCAGAAAGUAUAUUACAGCAUUGGUACAUCGGUACAUUAGGAAUGGAUAGGACGAUUGCCAGGUGCCACAAAAGGCUCAUUUGAAGUUUGUGUUCAUGAAUGUAAUUCAAGACCAGUUAGUGCUAUCUCUAGCCCUAUUUAACUGAAUGAAUUCAGAAACCCAGUAGAUGGAGUUGGGUUGUGCUUUGUUCAAGUAAGCAGAAUAGAGCAAGAGAAGUAUAAAGAGUGUUUGUAUUGAUUGGGGAUUUAAACUAGGUAAAAAGGGGAGAGAGGAAAUCAACAGGGUGAGGGGCUGUGAAAAGGUGAUAGAAUCAAUGCAUUGGCUGUGUUUUUGUAUAAAAUGAUUGUUCGGGAUGAGGUAAGAGAGUGACUUGCUGAUAUAGGAGGUGGUGAUCUGAGAGAGGGAUGCUUGAUUUGAGAUCACAGAGGGAUUGAACUUAUGGGAAAUGAUAAGUCUAUGGUAUGAGCAUGACUGCAGUGAGAUGGAGGACAAAGUCAUCGGAGGAGAAGGGUUCAACACAUUAAUAAAUAAGCAGUUUGUAUGUGGAUAUUAUCAGGAAUUGAGAUAGAAAUAAUAUUGAAGAGAGUGAAAUUGAACCAGGACCAGGCUGGUAGGUAUAGCAGUAACAAUGAGGGACAGUCACUGAUAAAAUCUGUUGAUAAAGACAUUGAGAAGUUGGGGGUGGGGGGGUGCAGUACCAAGACCCAAAACCCAGUGCAUGUGGGCUCCUUAGUCUCACAAGGGAUGAUUUGAUGAUUGCGGCAGUACGUCUGGCUUGACAAUCCUUCAAUUGUUCUACUGACUAUUUUCAUUUUCCACAUCAGAACACAGAAGUAAGUAAUAUGAUGUUCCAAGGCCAUGUUAUACCAUUUAAAAGAUUGUAAAGCUUAAAAAUGUCUUACACUACCUUGUAAUAACUAUCCCAUUUGUCUUCUGGUUCAGCCCCAUUUCAGCAUACUGACAUCACAUAGCUCAUAAUUAGCAGUGGAGUCUCCUCUUGAGAGAACCGAAUAUUGUAAUUUUUGCUGCUUCUGUUUUGGGGUUGUAAUCAGAAUUCUCACUCAAAUUCCAGGCAAUACAAAGAAAAUAAAAGGAACUAUUUGGGGAGGAUGAAAAAUUUAGGCUAAACCAGGGAAGCAGCUUUGAGAAAUUUAAUGACCGCCUGUGGAUUCUAGACAAUGUGUCAAAACAAAUGAAAAACCAACCCUAAUUUUACACUUCCACUGUAAACAUUCUCACUAACCGUUACUCAGUUCUAAAUAUCAAUGUUUGGCACUUGCUACUAUGAACUCCAUCCCCCUUAAGCCUUACUUUAACUUUUUUUGCUUUACCUUCCUGGCACAGUACUCUCUCCAUCCCCUUUUCCUUCUCUAAUCCUUUCUUCUUCUGACUUUCCUUCUAUUAAUGAUUAGAGCCUGAUCAAGUUACUCAAUCUCACUGAGACAAAAUUUUUGAUCCAUAAAAUCUGCAAAAUUACUUGUUCUAUGGAAACGUUGGGAUGAUUAAAUGAAGUAAUGGAGGCAAAGCGCCCAACACAGAGCUGACCCAUAACACAUUUUACUUCUGUCUCUUUUCCUUUCUUUCCCUGGCUCAUCCUCCUUUAUUUCACUUACUUGGAAACAUUACCCAUGUCUCUGUCCUACACCUCCAUCUUUCUCAGAGAACUGAGUUAUUUGAACAGCUUAAAUAUUAGGUAAAUGCGAAUGAUUCUUUUUUUUUUUUUUUUGAGGAAGAUUAACUCUGAGCUAACUGCUGCCAAUCCUCCUCUUUUCACUGAGGAAGACUGGCCCUGAGCUAACAUCCUGUGCCCAUCUUCCUCUACUUUAUAUGUGGGACUGAACGAUUCUUAAGCCUACAUAUCCAGUUUUGACGCAGAAACUCUGGCCCCAUAAUCUCUCAUUGUCCAUAAAAUUUUCACUUUUGUAUGCCAGUCACCUUCACACCAAUAUUAAAAAAGUCAAAUUAAUUAUGUCAUUUCAGCUCUGCCAAGUCAAUCAUCUCUCCCUUGUAAACAGCUUAUUUCUCUCAGUGGCACUCUCAGAACCUCAGUAACUCAGGCUGAGGCUCCUAGGUAACUUUUAGUUCUAAAAAUGUGAUUUUAAUUAAAAAGACAGAAGAGUUGGUAGGGUAUUUAACUUUUAUUUGUAGAAUAGUUAAGCUUCCAUUCUAAUGAAACUUGAAUGUUCAAGUAAAUCAACUACUGAGUUAAAAUUUAAAUACAGAAGGGUUACUCAUUUGAAGUGCAGAAAUAACUCAUUCGAUAUAUUGCAUUUUAAAAUAAAUGCUAUCUCUUGAAGGGCAGAAAAAAUGGUGUCACAGAGCAAAACAGAUACCCUGCUGAAAAGAAUAUCCAAAUUCAGAAAUGCCAAGCUGUAGAGCACUGAAUAUGCUGAAAAGACAAUUACACAUAAUUUAGAGUGCUCUUUGCUUGGAAAUCCUGGACUGUGCAGAAACAUGAAAAUAUUUGUGGACAACUUCUUCCAACAGUUACCACAUGGGAAAAGACAUGAAACCUUGGAGUGCUACUUGUAUUUAAGGAACAUGUUUCAGUGCUGACACAAAUGAUCCAUAUGGUUCUUAUUCCAUUCUGGAAUAAUAUUUGAAAAAAAGAAUGCAAGAUAUUUGAAUUCAAAUUAGAGAACAUUUCCAAUAAUUUCAUGGUAGUUUCUUAUCCUUUCAAAUGAGUCAUUUGCUGUAUAUAAUGUGCAAUAAACACAAUCAACC